CUGAUCGGAAAAGACCACCGGCAGAAUUUAAGCAUAUCAGUGAGCCGAGGAAAAGAAACUAACCAGGAUU
rnacentral:rRNA from 1 species